rnacentral:snRNA from 1 species
AACUUUGCGCAGAGGCAAUAUCGUAACUAAUGAGGUUAAUCCGAGGUGCGAUUAUUGCUAGUUGAAAACAUCUUUAGCUGCUUAACAGUUC